UGACCCCGUGCGGGAGAGUCCUCCGACACCACCGGAGGCGCCGAAGGAGCAAAUCCUCCCCGGAAUCUCUCAGGCCCACGUACCGCACGGACGAG
rnacentral:ncRNA from 1 species